UGGGGCUGUAGCUCAGUGGUAGAGUGCUUGCCUCACACACAUGAGGCCCUGGGUUCGAUCCUCAGCACCACAA
rnacentral:tRNA from 1 species